UCUCUAGUGGUGCAGUUGUUUAGUGUUUGGGAUUUACAGAGUAGUAUGUGUGAUGCCUUGCCAAGGUUGUGAGUUCAAGCCUCAUCUGAAGCA